AUUUUCCGGAUUAUAAAUCGCUCCGGAGUACAGGUCGCACCAACCAUAAAAUGCAUAAUAAAGAAGAAAAAAACAUGAGUCGCACUGGAGCAUAAAUCGCAUUUUGGGGAGGAAACUUAUUUGAUAAAAUCCAACACCAAGAACAUACAUGCCAUCUUGAAAGGCAAUUUAAAAUAAAAAUAAAAGAGAAAAUAACACGCUGAAUAAAUGUAUGAUAUGUUUACGUUACAUUACGCAUAAACGACGAACUGAGAACGUGCCUGGUAUGUUCAAGUAACAUAUUAAGACAACUCCACCAACUCCGGAGGUAGAAGAUGCAGCGCUUCCUCUUCUACGUCGCUUACGUCAGACUCAUUGUGGUUUCAUCAACACAGGUCAAAAGCGGCCUCUUGCAGUUUAAUGUGAAAAUAAAAUGUGAAAUGAUAUAAUAAUGUGUUAAUAAUUUCACCCAUAAAUCGCUCCAGAGUAUAAGUCGCACCCCCAGCCAAACUAU